rnacentral:rRNA from 1 species
UGGGGAAUUUUGGACAAUGGGCGAAAGCCUGAUCCAGCAAUGCCGCGUGUGUGAAGAAGGCCUUCGGGCUGUAAAGCACUUUUGUCCGGAAAGAAAUCCUUGGCUCUAAUACAGUCGGGGGAUGACGGUACCGGAAGAAUAAGCACCGGCUAACUACGUGCCAGCAGCCGCGGUAAUACGUAGGGUGCAAGCGUUAAUCGGAAUUACUGGGCGUAAAGCGUGCGCAGGCGGUUUGCUAAGACCGAUGUGAAAUCCCCGGGCUCAACCUGGGAACUGCAUUGGUGACUGGCAGGCUAGAGUAUGGCAGAGGGGGGUAGAAUUCCACGUGUAGCAGUGAAAUGCGUAGAGAUGUGGAGGAAUACCGAUGGCGAAGGCAGCCCCCUGGGCCAAAUACUGACGCUCAUGCACGAAAGCGUGGGGAGCAAACAGGAUUAGAUACCCUGGUAGUCCCACGCCCUAAACGAUGUCAACUAGUUGUUGGGGAUUCAUUUCCUUAGUAACGUAGCUAACGCGUGAAGUUGACC